rnacentral:rRNA from 1 species
AGCGAACGCUGGCGGCAGGCCUAACACAUGCAAGUCGAACGAAGUCUUCGGACUUAGUGGCGGACGGGUGAGUAACACGUGGGAACGUACCUUUUGGUUCGGAACAACUCAGGGAAACUUGAGCUAAUACCGGAUGAGCCCUUAGGGGGAAAGAUUUAUCGCCGAAAGAGCGGCCCGCGUUAGAUUAGCUAGUUGGUGAGGUAAAGGCUCACCAAGGCUACGAUCUAUAGCUGGUCUGAGAGGAUGAUCAGCCACACUGGGACUGAGACACGGCCCAGACUCCUACGGGAGGCAGCAGUGGGGAAUCUUGCGCAAUGGGCGAAAGCCUGACGCAGCCAUGCCGCGUGAAUGAUGAAGGUCUUAGGAUUGUAAAAUUCUUUUACCAGGGACGAUAAUGACGGUACCUGGGGAAAAGCCCCGGCUAACUUCGUGCCAGCCGCCGCGGUAAAAC